UACGGGGGGGGCAAGCGUUGUUCGGAAUUACUGGGCGUAAAGCGUGCGCAGGCGGCUUUGCAAGUCAGAUGUGAAAUCCCCGGGCUCAACCUGGGAACUGCAUUUGUGACUGCAAGGCUAGAGUACGGUAGAGGGGGAUGGAAUUCCGCGUGUAGCAGUGAAAUGCGUAGAUAUGCGGAGGAACACCGAUGGCGAAGGCAAUCCCCUGGACCUGUACUGACGCUCAUGCACGAAAGCGUGGGGAGCAAACAGG
rnacentral:rRNA from 1 species